rnacentral:lncRNA from 1 species
AAAAAUUAAAAGUUACAAUUUUUUUAGAUAUCUUAUAUGUUACCAAUACUUUCUAAGGGAUACAAUGCAAUAUAAUUACUUUGUAAGGCAUUGAAACAAUAGUCACAAUAUUGUCUAAUUAUGUAAAACUAAUAUAGUAGUAGGCAAUCAUAAUUGCUAUUAGUUUUUAUUAAUGUGGCAUUGUCUAAUCAAACGGCCCUAGGGCUUAGCUCCAACAAAACAUAAUAGUUAACCAUAAAUUAUAUAAAUUUCAUUGUAACAAUUGAAGAAGAGAAAAAUAAGGGGCCUAAGGCGAUGGGCUAACCCACCACACCACUAUGCUUAAAUGAAUUUUUAUCAAAUGAGGAGAACAAAGCUUAUAUCUUGGCGGUGGGUUAAGCAUAACUAUGGGUACAGGCUAUGGUCGUGAAAGACUGAAAGGUAUGACACUUUUUAUCGUUUAUUCGAAAACAUGGUAGUACUUAUUGUAGUGUUUAUGUGUAUACAUACAUAAAAGGAUUGUUAGUUGUAUGGG